rnacentral:rRNA from 1 species
UACAGAGGGUGCAAGCGUUGUUCGGAAUUAUUGGGCGUAAAGGGCGCGUAGGCGGUGCGGUAAGUCUGUAGUGAAAUCUCUGGGCUCAACUCAGAGUCUGCUAUAGAAACUGCCGUGCUUGAGUGUGGGAGAGGUGAGUGGAAUUCCCGGUGUAGCGGUGAAAAUGCGUAGAUAUCGGGAGGAACACCUGUGGCGAAAGCGGCUC